rnacentral:rRNA from 1 species
GCGAUACAGGGUGACAGCCCCGUACACAAAAAUGCACAUGCUGUGAGCUCGAUGAGUAGGGCGGGACACGUGGUAUCCUGUCUGAAUAUGGGGGGACCAUCCUCCAAGGCUAAAUACUCCUGACUGACCGAUAGUGAACCAGUACCGUGAGGGAAAGGCGAAAAGAACCCCGGCGAGGGGAGUGAAAAAGAACCUGAAACCGUGUACGUACAAGCAGUGGGAGCACAGAGCAAUCUGUGUGACUGCGUACCUUUUGUAUAAUGGGUCAGCGACUUAUAUUCUGUAGCAAGGUUAACCGAAUAGGGGAGCCGAAGGGAAACCGAGUCUUAACUGGGCGUUAAGUUGCAGGGUAUAGACCCGAAACCCGGUGAUCUAGCCAUGGGCAGGUUGAAGGUUGGGUAACACUAACUGGAGGACCGAACCGACUAAUGUUGAAAAAUUAGCGGAUGACUUGUGGCUGGGGGUGAAAGGCCAAUCAAACCGGGAGAUAGCUGGUUCUCCCCGAAAGCUAUUUAGGUAGCGCCUCGUGAAUUCAUCUCCGGGGGUAGAGCACUGUUUCGGCAAGGGGGUCAUCCCGACUUACCAACCCGAUGCAAACUGCGAAUACCGGAGAAUGUUAUCACGGGAGACACACGGCGGGUGCUAACGUCCGUCGUGAAGAGGGAAACAACCCAGACCGCCAGCUAAGGUCCCAAAGUCAUGGUUAAGUGGGAAACGAUGUGGGAAGGCCCAGACAGCCAGGAUGUUGGCUUAGAAGCAGCCAUCAUUUAAAGAAAGCGUAAUAGCUCACUGGUCGAGUCGGCCUGCGCGGAAGAUGUAACGGGGCUAAACCAUGCACCGAAGCUGCGGCAGCGACGCUUAUGCGUUGUUGGGUAGGGGAGCGUUCUGUAAGCCUGUGAAGGUGUACUGUGAGGUAUGCUGGAGGUAUCAGAAGUGCGAAUGCUGACAUAAGUAACGAUAAAGCGGGUGAAAAGCCCGCUCGCCGGAAGACCAAGGGUUCCUGUCCAACGUUAAUCGGGGCAGGGUGAGUCGACCCCUAAGGCGAGGCCGAAAGGCGUAGUCGAUGGGAAACAGGUUAAUAUUCCUGUACUUGGUGUUACUGCGAAGGGGGGACGGAGAAGGCUAUGUUGGCCGGGCGACGGUUGUCCCGGUUUAAGCGUGUAGGCUGGUUUUCCAGGCAAAUCCGGAAAAUCAAGGCUGAGGCGUGAUGACGAGGCACUACGGUGCUGAAGCAACAAAUGCCCUGCUUCCAGGAAAAGCCUCUAAGCAUCAGGUAACAUCAAAUCGUACCCCAAACCGACACAGGUGGUCAGGUAGAGAAUACCAAGGCGCUUGAGAGAACUCGGGUGAAGGAACUAGGCAAAAUGGUGCCGUAACUUCGGGAGAAGG